UCGCACUAGUUGGAGAGUUAGCGGUGCUCUGUCACCUGCAAUCCGCUAUAGCAGGGAUGAAUUCCCGCACCCGGGUUCGCGCUGUGCUGUCUGUCCGUGUAAGUGGUGUUGAGAGAUCGGUCUCGCGCAACGAACUCCUGUGAAUCAUGUCAGGCGGGGAACCGAGCAGCAUUAAGCAGGUCGGUUUGUGUGCCGCGAGGAAGCCGUUUUUGAGCCGGCUGCACGGGAAACGAGCAGGGUUGCGAAUUCAAAUGCGGGUGUGCGA
rnacentral:SRP_RNA from 1 species